GACGAACGCUGGCGGCGUGCUUAACACAUGCAAGUCGAACGGAAAGGCCCUGCUUGCAGGGUACUCGAGUGGCGAACGGGUGAGUAACACGUGGGUGAUCUGCCCUGCACUUCGGGAUAAGCUUGGGAAACUGGGUCUAAUACCGGAUAGGAGCCAUCUUUAGUGUGGUGGUUGGAAAGUUUUUUCGGUGUAGGAUGAGCUCGCGGCCUAUCAGCUUGUUGGUGGGGUAAUGGCCUACCAAGGCGGCGACGGGUAGCCGGCCUGAGAGGGUGUACGGCCACAUUGGAACUGAGAGACAGCCCAGACUCCUACGGGAGGCAGCAGUGGGGAAUAUUGCACAAUGGGAGCAAGCCUGAUGCAGCGACGCCGCGUGGGGGAUGAAGGCCUUCGGGUUGUAAACUCCUUUCGCUAGGGACGAAGCUUUUUUGUGACGGUACCUAGAUAAGAAGCACCGGCUAACUACGUG
rnacentral:rRNA from 1 species